AUAUACAAGGGGAACUUGCAUACUGAAAGGAGGCUCCGCUCUGUCUCCAGACAUAAAGAACAUCUACGGGGUGAGUGGAAGCAGGUUUAUAGUAAUUAUACAGGGAGCUGGAAACAGCCUGGUUGCCUAAUAUGUUCCAUUUUCAUUUUAUGUUUUUCUUGUAUCUGUAUUAAAUGUUCUAAUACCUCCUUUAAGGCUGUUACAAAUAAACAAUUUAGGCUAGAAAUCUGUCUUUUCCUUUGUCUCAUGAAAGCCGCUUUGAAUUUGUCUAAAACAGAAAAUUGCAAAAAAUGCAGUUUAUUUUCCAUGACUUGAAUUCCCCAGGAACUUGAGCAGUCUGCUAAAAUACUAGCUGAGCAUGACGAACCUGAGACUGAAUCUCUCUGUUCUGUAGAGACUCAGCCACACAGAAGUUUCUAAUGAUGGGAAAGAAAAGGAAGCAGGAUGGACUUGGCUUUCUGGAAUGGUGGUGAUGGUGGUGGCACAUGUUCUGCUGAGGAAAGGAAGCCAGCCUUAGCUGCUAGGUAUUCAAAUGUGACUGGCAGCUCAAGUUCAGUGGUCACUUUUCUCACAUGUUCUUGAGUUUUAAUAACGACCUGCAGAGCAUGUAACAUCUCAAGGAAUUUCUUCUUCUCAUUGCUUGGACAAGAAAUAAAUGGUUUGGCAUGCUGCCCUUCCCUGGCCUGUCCCUCAGCAACCCCACCUGUCAGCAGGUGGUAGAUGUGGCUGUUCUCCUCAGUGACUUAAGAAGUCCUUGUCUUCUGCCACUGUGAAGUGUACAAGUGGUUUCAGAGCUUUAAUUGGGUAACUCUGCUGGAGGUGAGGACAAGUGAAGACCUUUCUCGGCAAGGCACUUUUGCACAGGAGCUAUGGAUUAGAUUACACCCUCAGCUGAAGUGCUAUGUGAAGACAACCAAGACAGCUCUAAAGAAAACCAGCAGCAAUCUUGGCAUGGCACUCAGGGCAGUUAACUCUCUGACAUACAAAUUACAGCGAUUUGUACUAGGCCUUGUGACUGUGGUUAGCUAUGUUCUGAUUCUUGUUUAUGGCUAGAUCUUGUACCACCUCAAUACACUGCCAUCUGCAUUUUUUUUGUGUUUAUUCUGGACACUUGAAUAACUUGUUGAGAUCUAAUUGGGCCCUAAGGGGACACACACACACAUUUAAUAUGGGUCGUGUGCAUCAUGACAAAUAAUAAUAAUUCCUGUUCCACUGUGAAAUGCUGGUGUCAUUUAAAUCUGUACAAUCCACUCGAAAAAACUGGAUUUGGAUGUAAAUUUUAUUAUUGGAAUCUUUAGGUCUAGUCUUAAACCUAUUAGAUAUAUUUUAGUGGAUAUAUUUCCACAAACUUCAAGAGGUGCUUGUGCCAGUUCUUUGACAUAUAUGUGAGAAAGCACAUGAAUAUGCAAGGCUGGCACAAAUAUGAGAACAUUUAUUAUCUGUAAACAACAGAUACAACACACACACACACACACACAAAUAGAAACAUAAUACCUGUUCCACCACUGAUAUUUUAAUGUCAGAGUCUUACUUUUACAACCAAACAUUCACCUUUACAAAUAGAUUUAGUUAAGGACAAGAUAGAUAAAUAAGUCUUUCUUUUCAGAUAUAUGUAGAUGUCUGAGGUGAAUCUUAACAGCUUAUGUCCUUAACUUUCCUUUGGGGGAAGAGAGGCCAAGAUUCCUGAUGUUGUCAGUGUAGGGAAUUACUUCAGUUCCUUCCUCCUGCGAGAGGAAUGACAAAAAUAGUAUAGGUGAUCUCCAGAUACCAGAGGAGGAAGUCACACCUAUUAGUAGUGUGAAGAAUAACAUAGUCCUCCUUGGCUUUUCCUCCCUGGAAAUGACUUCAUGGAUAGAAAACUUUUAAAACACAUGUGACUCUAUGUCUCUCCUUUGGCCAUCUAAGAGAUUAAAACAGGGAAUGGUUAUACCUCUGUUACCUUGCUGCACAUAUAGAGCCAUACAUUUUGUAGCAAAAUUAAAGAGAACCGUUAAAACACAUUCUAUGGUAUAAUCACUAGAGCUGUGCUGCCAGAACUUAACCACUUCAUUACAUGCUUUUUUUUUAAAAAAAAAAAAAAACUCUGGCCAAGAGUAUAGUGAAGCAGAUUGUGCAACAUUCUGUUUUUAUGGUUUCUGUAUAAACAUAUUAAAUAGAUUUUUUCUUAAGAACUUAAUGAUACAGUCAUUUAUUAAUAACAAACAGAGAAUUUAUACAUCUGUUUUGUUAGUGACUUUCAGAAAUUCUGAUUAUGACAAACUUGUAAGAUUAACUCCAAGCAUUCUAGUUCUAAACAUUACUGCAUUGCUAGUGCUUAGUGAGACACAGGCCCUGCCAAUUCCAAUCCAGGCUUUCAGAACAGAUAGUCCCUGGUGAAAUCAUAUCUUUCUGCACAUUCGUUCAAAGCAUGGUCUCAUUUUUUGUUCUCUAACCUGAUGUCAGGACCAUUCCUAUCUAUUUUUCAUCCCUGAAUUCUCUUCCCAGUCCCUUUUCUCUGGCACAGGCACUACUGGCACUUCUAUUUCCUUUUUUUUUUUUUUUUUUCCCCCUUUUUUUCCCUCAUCUUCCUUCUCAUCUACAUCUCCUUACAACUGUCUUCCACUCAUACUUUUUUCUCUGUUGACUUCACAGUACUUCUCACCAGCCCUUCUUCACCUCCACAGAUGACUUUCCUCACCUAGUCACCAUCAUAUCUUGCUUUGUCUCCAUUCCUUUGAGAGAGCACCAUAACCAGCAUCACCUGUUGGUUAAAAAUUUGAAUACUUCAGCACUGUGUGUGCUUACAUUUCUCCCUGCAUGCUUACAGUUCCCUGAAUGAGUUUCUUAGCACCAGUCCUUUAGAACUGCCACAGUUUUGGCAGGACUGAGUCCCUGUGCUCAGCUGAGAUCAACUGUUAAAAUGUUCCUCUGUGCUUCUUCCCAAGCAGAGUCCAGCUCAUUGUGCUGAGUCCAGGCUGCACUUAUUGAAGUUAUCCCUGCAUACAACAGCACCUCCCCAUCUUCAUAUUCACGAGUGGGGUAGUCCAAAUUCUGUUCCAGGAUAUGGGACAGCUGGAUAUGAUUCCUAUGUCUUCCCAUGGUCCAGUCUCUGCAGAGCACUCUGCAGUAAAGUGCUUUAUACUACUGAGGCAGUUGACUAACACUAGUCUUGAGACCAUAGUUUGCUUCAAUGCAUGAACAGUGUGCACAAUGGGAGAACUCAGGCUCAAAGUGAGCUGUGCUAAGAUAACAGCAAAAACAUACCCUUUUAGUCUCUCCUGUUGCAUCUGUUUCAUUUUAUAUGGAAUAAUUGCAUGUUACAUGGGUGAAGAGAGAAGAAGGUGAGUGAGUGAAAGACAAGAAUGUGUUCAAAACUUGUGUCUACCAUCUGGAAUGACUGCAUAAAAAAAGAACAUAAUAUAUAUACAGCACAAUAAAUGACUGAAUGACACAACUGUUACAAGGGGAGAGUGCCCUCCUUUUAGUACAUGUAGGAAUUCAUAUUGCUGCAAAUGACAGUGUUCCUGCAGAACACUUCUUACAGAUAUCAGACAACACUGUUUAAAAUAUUUUCAGUUGUUUUUGUUUGUUUGUUUGUUAGUUUG